rnacentral:rRNA from 1 species
UACGUAGGGUGCAGGCGUUAAUCGGAAUUACUGGGCGUAAAGCGUGCGCAGGCGGUCUGCUAAGAGAGGUGUGAAAUCCCCGGGCUUAACCUGGGAACUGCGCUUCUAACUGGCAGGCUAGAGUGUGGCAGAGGGGGGUGGGAAUUCCACGUGUAGCAGUGAAAUGCGUAGAGAUGUGGAGGAACACCGAUGGCGAAGGCAGCCCCCUGGGCUAACACUGACGCUCAUGCACGAAAGCGUGGGGAGCAA